GGGGAUUUAGCUCAGUGGUAGAGCGCUUGGCAAGCGCAAGGCCCUGGGUUCGGUCCCCAGCUCCA
rfam:Rattus norvegicus chromosome 10, whole genome shotgun sequence.